UGCAUGCAGUCGAACGAGGUCGCUCCUUCGGGGGCUAAACCUAGUGGCAGACGGCUGAGUAACGCGUGGGUGACCUGCCCCCGAGAACGGGAUAACUGCGGGAAGCUGCAGCUAAUACCGUAUACAUUCCCGUGCUUCAAGGCGCGGGAAGAAAUGAUUUAUCGCUCGGGGAUGGGCCCGCGUCCUAUCAGGUAGUUGGUGCGGUAACGGCGUACCAAGCCUUAAACGGGUAUCUGGUGUGAGAGCAUGACCAGACAGAGGGGGACUGAGACACGGCCCCCACUCCUCCGGGAGGCAGCAGCAAGGGAUCGUGCACAAUGGGCGAAAGCCUGAUGCCGCGACGCCGCGUGAGGGAUGACGGCUUUCGAGUUGUAAACCUCUUUUCUCAGGGAAGAGAGAGGACGUCACCUGAGGAAUAAGUCAUGGCUAACUACGUGCCAGCAGCAGCGGUAAUACGUAGGUGGCAAGCGUUGUCCGGAAUUACUGGGCGUAAAGGGUCCGUAGGCGGUUCGGUCAGUCCUCUGUGAAAGCUCCAGGCUCAACUUGGAGUCGUCAGGAGAAACUGCCGAACUAGAGACUGUCAGAGGCAGGUGGAAUUCCCGGUGUAGUGGUGAAAUACGUAGAUAUCGGGAGGAACACCAGUGGCGAAAGCGGCCUGCUGGGGCAGUUCUGACGCUAAGGGACUAAAGCGUGGGGAGCGAACCGGAUUACAUACCCGGGUAGUCCACGCCCUAAACGAUGAAUGCUAGGUCUCCGGGGUGUUAAUUCCCUGUGGGCCA
rnacentral:rRNA from 1 species